AUUCACUGUGCCUAAACAAAAUAUGGCCACAUCUCUCUCGGUUCGGCCCAACCGUACUAUCAUUAGCAGUGACCCGGCCGGUUCAACCCGGCCUAAUCCAAUCCGCCGCCCUCCAAUCUCCGCUCAUUUGCCGAAAAUUCCAAACUCCGAUAGUUUCCGGCGGAGGAGGCUAGUGUUUACUUCUCACCGCCGGAAAUUGAACCCCGCCGUUCAAGCAGGUUCUAGAGCUGAUGAUUCGGCUCCUUUCGAGAUGUCGGUAGAGAAUGCCCUGAAGUUGCUAGGUGUCACUGAGGGUGCUAGCUUCGAUGAUAUUCUUCGUGCGAAAAAGUCAAUUAUCUCUUCUUGUAAAGACGAUCCAGAUACAAUUGCACAGGUAGAGGCGGCAUAUGAUAUGCUUCUCAUGCAAAGCUUAUCACAGAGGAGAUCUGGAAAAGUUGUGGAUAGUAGUGUACGCUUUGCUGAUGUUAAAGCUGCUAAUGCUUCUGGGAUGGGAUCAAUGCCCAAGUGGCUGCAGACGACUGUCAAGAGCUCACCAGUCGCAGUUGAAGCACCAGCUUCUAAAGAGUUAGGUGUUCAAGCAGGAGUCUAUGGAGCCUUAAUGGUCUUAACAUAUGUUAAUGGAGCCUCAACACCUUUAGGAGUAUCGUAUGGAGCUGAUGUUCCUGGACUAAUCUUAGCCACAAGCUUUGGGGCCACCUUGUACUUCAUGACCAAGAAAAAUGUCAAGUUGGGGAAAGCAAGCGUCAUAACAAUUGGUGGGCUGGUCGCUGGUGCAGUGGUAGGUUCAGCAGUAGAAAAUUGGUUGCAAGUAGACAUUGUCCCGUUACUGGGUAUACACACUCCUGCUACGGUUGUGAGUGAAUUUAUACUUUUCUCGCAAUUUCUGGUCUCGUUGUAUCUGAUAUAGGGUAACUCAAAGGCUUGUAUGAACUGCUACUGUAAGAAGGUCUAUGGCUAUUUGUUGCCUACUCAGGUUCUUGUUCUUAUCUAGGACCAGUAAUUUGUUAAAUGUACAAAAGAAUGUUACCAAAACUCUGG
rnacentral:misc_RNA from 1 species